rnacentral:rRNA from 1 species
UACAGAGGGUGCAAGCGUUAAUCGGAAUUACUGGGCGUAAAGCGUGCGCAGACGGUUGCGUAAGUCAGAUGUGAAAGCCCCGGGCUCAACCUGGGAAUUGCAUUUGAGACUGCGUAGCUAGGGUGCGGAAGAGGGAAGCGGAAUUUCCGGUGUAGCGGUGAAAUGCGUAGAUAUCUGGAGGAACACCGGUGGCGAAGGCGGCAUCCUGGACCAACACUGACACUGAGGAGCGAAAGCCAGGGGAGCAAACGGG